AUGCCAUUAGCUGCUAAUGACCCCUUUCAAGAAAAGAAAAAAUGUUGUAGCCCACGUCUUCAUCAAACUGCAUGCACGACGCCACUCCUCUGCUAUCGACGCCAUCGCAGGGGCCGGGUCCACCGCCCCGUCCGCCGCUCCUUCUCUGCUGCACCACAGACGCUAGCGCGGAUCGCCGUCGCCGCCUGCCGCUCCUCCUCUAAUUCUAGACGGACGCAAGCUCGGAUCAUUGUCGCCUCCUCCGGCCGCUCAUCCUAUGCCGCCCCAUGGUCUCGACGCCGGAGGCUCUCCUCUUGGUCGGCUGCUGCCCCCACGGAUGCGAGCUCCCGCCGCUCCUCCUUUUCUGCCCCACGGGCUCACCGCCGGCCGCUCUCCCUUCGUCGGUUGCUGCUCUAUCAGGCGAAGGCUCUCCUCUGCAUCGGAUCUGGCAUCCUGAGCCUUCCAACAAUCGGAUCCGGUGAGAUUUGCCACCUCCUGCUGCCGUCCAUGUGUAGCUCGUCGACUUCACCCAGGAUGGCCACCAGGAUGAGUCGACGACCUCUGCCUCAUAGUUGUCUUCCCCGAGAGCUGACGCUGUCUCCAUGCCGCACGAGUACACCUGCAAUAUCGAUGGACACUAAGUACUACUGCCAAUCAUCAAUGAAGUCAACGAACAACCAGACCAGAAAGGCGUGGAGCUUGAGCUUGAGCUGCAGCGACAAUGACAACUUGGGCGUCAACUUCAAAAAACAACAGUUCAAUAAAUGCCCCAAUCUAUUUUAUCUAGGCAGCAUGUAUUUGGUCAAUGCUUCAAAUCACCAGACCUUGGCGCUAUUCCUUGUCAUAGAGGAGCACAGAAGUAUGAUCAUGACCCUGCUCAAGUUCGGCCUCACUACUGUCGCUGUAGCUGCUUCUGUGAGUCUCUAUAAUCUUCUUCGCCACUGGUUCAGUAACCCUCUCGGUUUUGUUCUCUCCUCUUCUCUUGUGCUCUCUGACCCAGACAUUGAUCGAUGUGACUCUUGUGAUGCCAGCCAUCAAGCUUCUCGUGCUUUGGUUACUGCUAAUGCUUGGCUCCUAAUGUGUCAGCCAUCAGUGACCGCAAGUUACCACAGACAAAUUGGGCAGCCCCAGUGCAUGCAGCUCCCGCUUGCGCAGGGUCUGGGGAAGGGUCCGACCACUUUGGGUCUAUUGUACGCAGCCUUUCCCUACAUUUCUAACUUUAUCAUAGUAGUUUCCUUCUAUAAAUUUCUUUCACAGAUAGUGCUCCUCGACGACGAAUCCUGUGCACGAUCCCCCACCGGGCAACCGCUGCUACAAGCAACCGCCGCCCACUGCAACCGCGCGCACGACCCCCUCCCUCUUAUCCAGAUCGAUUUGGUUGGUGUAUCCACAGGCAUGUUGUCUCCACCUAAGAGCCCGAUGGCCGAAUCGGUGCAAGAAAAUGAUAUAUCAGAUGUUCUAUCUGAUAUUCGCUUAGAGCUUGAUGGAGAAGAUGGUAAUAAGGUUGAUGAGGCUGCGAAUACGCCUGAGGACAUCCCUGCUGCGAAUACGCCUGAGGUCAUUCCUACUCGCAACCAGAGGUCUAAGGCAUUGAACGACAGGCAAAGUCAGCCUGCCAGCAAUCCUUCUAGCCCUGUUGGAAGGGGUGAGCAUGAUAUCGGCUCUUUGGAACUUUCAGAGACGCAGUCACAGUCCGUUGAUGGUACAGAGGCUGUGACUCAACCUGAGGAUGUCGCUGAUCAGCUGGAGGCUGACAAGUUAAGGGUGGCAGAGAAAAUAGCAGCUGCUCGAAAUCGCAAGUCAAAGGCAUUGCACGAUAUUUCAUCUCAAUGCAUGGAUAUAGUUGUUCAUGAUAGUGCUGGUGUUUCUGAUGGCCCUCCGAGUCCUGUAAACCCUGUCCCUGUAAAAAGAUUAGGACAACUUGUACGAAGACAAUCACCUGAUGUCGAUGGUAAACGGCAAAGUCCUAAAGUUAUUCAGAGAGGCAGCUCUGCAAAUCUUAAUGCUGCUGCUGCAAAAAAGGUGAAGGCAGCUAACCAGGUUGUGUCCAAGGCUAAGGCACCUGUUCAUAAGAAGAAGAAUGAUGUUCUUAAGCGUAAGGAGAAGGUUUUGUCCAAGGGCCAUCAAACUAGAGGUAGCACAAAGAAGCUACCUUGUGCUACUCGCAAAUCUGUGCAUUUUGCAAAGGAUGAUGAUUUUGAGCCCGAUGAUGGUGAUGAUGGUGAUGAAGAAGGCGAUGAUGACGAACCUUAUGUUUUUGAAGAGGUUUCUGAUUCUGGAGAUGAUAUCGGGAAGUAUGAGUUUGUGGAGAUGCCUUUCAAGAGGAAGAGAGGCGGGAAAGGUGAGCCUAGCAACAAAGUUGAAAAGGUGGCGAAAAAGCGCUUCAACACCACGAUUAGGUGCCCUUUGAAGGAGGUUGCUCUUUCUGUUGCAUUGUUGAAGGAACAUCACUUGAAUGUUCUUCAUACUGCAGAUCUUGUUCAUAUCAAAGACUUCAAGAUCAAAUCCAACAUUAAUCGCCGUCUUGCUUGUUUUCUGAUGUAUAAUAUUGAUCCUAGGACCAUGAUCCUUGAUCUUGGUGGAAACAAAGUUCUGGAGAUCAAUGCAGAUGUCAUUGAGAAGCUUUUUGCACUGCCUAAUGGUGACGACUCUCCUCCAAGGCCUUCAGAGGAUUAUGGUGCUGCUUUGGUGAAGUUAAAGGUUGAGCUUAGGAUUCCAAGGAAUAAAGAUAUAAAAGCUGAUGAGCUUCGGAAUAUUCUGUCGCAGCUUGUCGAUGAUCCUCUUAGGGAUGGCCUUGCUCUGAAGGUGUUUGAUCUCAUUUUGUACAACAAGUUUUUCUGCCCAGGGUAUUCUCUGCGUGUGAAGAAGGAGGCGACAAUGGUUGAAGACUUUGACAUUGUCAAGCUGGAAAACAUGCAGAUUUGUCAGCUAAUUGUUGACGAGCUGAGACUUGCUAUUGAAGCCUGGCAGAAAGCAGGUGCAGAAUGGAGAGCUCUUCCUGGUUGUGUUAUUGCGCCUGUUCUAGCUUAUUUGGACUAUCUGGACCACCGCUCCAUUAACCGUAAAGAUAAGAGGUACCCCCGUGCCAUCUACAUGGAUCCUAGGAAGCUUAUGAAACUUGCCAAUCUGGAUAUUUUGAAGAAAGGUGGCCCGGACCCUAGAUCUUGGAUCUUUGGUAAGUUGCCGUGGAAGGGGCGCAACGAUAUUAUCUAUUUUGAUGAAAGCGUUGAAGUGACUGGUACCAAUUAUUAUGUGUAUCCCAAGAAGAGGAAGUUUGAACCGUCCUUAGGAAUUGUUCAUGCUAGUAGUCCAAAGGCAGUUCAGUUGUCACUUCAUCUGCCUACCACCAGCAGCCGUCUGAGCAGCACUACUGGAGUUUUGCCCCCUGAGCUUGCAUUUAAUGAAGAUGCUCACAAGAUUUUGUUGGAUGCUGAGGCUGUCAAUCUUGAUCAUUUGCAGAAAUAUUUAUCCCAGAUCAAGGAUGGUUUUGUAAUGUACAAGACCAUGCAAGAUGGUCGCUGCAAGCCUUUCGAAGAGCAUGCACAAAAGUAUCUCACGGAGAUUUCUAAGGGAGAUUGUCCUACUUCUGGCGGAGAUGCUGGUGCUGCUGCUGCCGGAGUGCAUACAUGUGCUGGUGGGGAAGGGGAACACAAUGAUUCUACUAUUCCUCAUGUAGAUAAGGUGAGAUAUCUUUUGUACAAUGUUUCAACGCGAGAAGAUCAUCAUGAAGAGAUAGAUGUACAACUUACUGGUGAUGUUGGAGUUGCGAAGAAACCAGAAGCUGGUGUUGCUGAAGCUGCUCAUGAAGAUCCAGUUGAAGUUGCCGCCGGUCAUAGUGAUUCUACUACAGUCACAACUACUCUUGAGAAGAUAUCCGCUGCUGUUGAUGCUGGCAUUGAGCGUGAAGCUAUUCCCGUAUCGGAUGCACACGAGAUCCCAUCUGUUGUUGUGCCGGAUCUUGUAGUUAAAGUUGCGCCAUCUUCUGCAGACAAAGACAUAGGCAAGAACAAAUAA
rnacentral:rRNA from 1 species